rnacentral:rRNA from 1 species
UACGAAGGGUGCAAGCGUUAAUCGGAAUUACUGGGCGUAAAGCGUGCGUAGGUGGUUCGUUAAGUCUGAUGUGAAAGCCCUGGGCUCAACCUGGGAAUGGCAUUGGAUACUGGCGACCUAGAGUGCGGUAGAGGGGUGUGGAAUUCCCGGUGUAGCAGUGAAAUGCGUAGAUAUCGGGAGGAACAUCUGUGGCGAAGGCGACACCCUGGACCAGCACUGACACUGAGGCACGAAAGCGUGGGGAGCAAACAGG